rnacentral:rRNA from 1 species
CCUACGGGUGGCUGCAGUGAGGAAUAUUGGUCAAUGGACGAGAGUCUGAUCCAGCCAAGCAGCGUGAAUGAUGACUGCUCUAUGGGUUGUAAACUUCUUUUGUAUGGGAAUAAAAUGUUCCACGUGUGGGAUUUUGUAUGUACCAUAUGAAUAAGGAUCGGCUAACUCCGUGCCAGCAGCCGCGGUAAUACGGAGGAUCCGAGCGUUAGCCGCAGUUAUUGGGUUUAAAGGGAGCGUAGGUGGAUUGUUAUGUCAGUUGGGAAAGUUUGCGGAUCAACCGUAAAAUUUCAGUUGAAACUGGCAGUCUUGAGUACAGUAGAGGUGGGCGGAAUUCGUGGUGUAGCGGUGAAAUGCUUAUAUAUCACGAAGAACUCCGAUUGCGAAGGCAGUGCACUGGACUGCAACUGACACUGAGGCUCGAAAGUGUGGGUAUCAAACAGGAUUAGAUACCCUUGUAGUC